rnacentral:rRNA from 1 species
GACGAACGCUGGCGGCGUGCUUAACACAUGCAAGUCGAACGGUAAGGCCCUUCGGGGUACACGAGUGGCGAACGGGUGAGUAACACGUGGGUGAUCUGCCCUGCACUUCGGGAUAAGCCUGGGAAACUGGGUCUAAUACCGGAUAGGACUCCUGGCUUCAUGGUUGGGGGUGGAAAGCUUUUGCGGUGUGGGAUGGGCCCGCGGCCUAUCAGCUUGUUGGUGGGGUAAUGGCCUACCAAGGCGACGACGGGUAGCCGGCCUGAGAGGGUGACCGGUCACACUGGGACUGAGAUACGGCCCAGACUCCUACGGGAGGCAGCAGUGGGGAAUAUUGCACAAUGGGCGCGAGCCUGAUGCAGCGAUGCCGCGUGAGGGAUGACGGCCUUCGGGUUGUAAACCUCUUUCAGCUAUGACGAAGCGCAAGUGACGGUAGUAGCAGAAGAAGGACCGGCCAACUACGUGCCAGCCGCCGCGGUAA